rnacentral:lncRNA from 1 species
GUCUGUUCAUCUCUGUUGUGGAGGAGAUAAAGCCCCCAAGAAGAUUAAGCAAACUGCAAAGACGCCGAGUAAAGCUGAUUGGAAAAUUGGACGCACAGUUCUGCUGGCCGGUCCUCCUGCACGUUCAGCUGCUGUGGCGACAUCUAAAUCUAUAUUUGGAUCGGGAUAUGAAUCUGGACAUGGACCAACUGAUAAAGAUCUACGGGAUUCUAAAAAGAGCUUUCUUUCUUCUCGACGGUUAAGCGCAGGAAAGCUGAGCAAGAAAAAGGGUCGAAAAAACUGAAAGAUGAACCCAUCUGAUCAUCAGCAGUGAUUGAACUAAAAAAGUAAUGUAAAGAUUAAAAUGAGAUUUUCUGUAAGUCUGUCAGUAAUGAUUCUAAUAAAAUUAUUUUAAAACAAUAUGUUAUUGAGUUA